GGUGGGGAGCAAACAAGAUUAGAUACCCUGGUAGUCCACGCCGUAAACGAUGUCGAUUUGGAGUUUGUUGCCUAGAGUGAUGGGCUCCGAAGCUAACGCGAUAAAUCGACCGCCUGGGGAGUACGGCCGCAAGGUUAAAACUCAAAUGAAUUGACGGGGGCCGCACAGCGGUGGAGCAUGUGGUUUAAUUCGAUGCAACGCGAAGAACCUUACUGGUCUUGACAUCCAUAGAAUUCUGCAGAGAUGUGGGAGUGCCUUCGGGAACUAUGAGACAGGUGCUGCAUGGCUGUCGUCAGCUCGUGUUGUGAAAUGUUGGGUUAAGUCCCGCAACGAGCGCAACCCUUACUCUUUGUUGCCAGCGAUUUGGUCGGGAACUCAAAGGAGACUGCCGUUGAUAAAGCGGAGGAAGGUGGGGACGACGUCAAGUCAUCAUGGCCCUUACGACCAGGGCUACACACGUGCUACAAUGGCGUAUACAAAGGGAAGCGAAGGUGCGAGCUGGAGCGGAUCUCAUAAAGUACGUCUAAGUUCGGAUUGGAGUCUGCAACUCGACUCCAUGAAGUCGGAAUCGCUAGUAAUCGUAGAUCAGAAUGCUACGGUGAAUACGUUCCCGGGCCUUGUACACACCGCCCGUCACACCAUGGGAGUGGGUUGCACCAGAAGUAGAUAGCUUAACCGCGAGGGGGGCGUUUACCACGGUGUGAUUCAUGACUGGGGUGAAGUCGUAACAAGGUAACCA
rnacentral:rRNA from 1 species